rnacentral:rRNA from 1 species
UAGGGAAUUUUGGGCAAUGGGCGAAAGCCUGACCCAGCAACGCCGCGUGUGGGAUGAAGGCCCUCGGGUCGUAAACCACUGUCAGGAGGAAAGAAAAGUCGGCCGGAUAAUACUCGGUCGACCUGACGGUACCUCCAAAGGAAGCACCGGCUAACUCCGUGCCAGCAGCCGCGGUAAUACGGAGGGUGCAAGCGUUGUUCGGAAUUACUGGGCGUAAAGCGCGUGUAGGUGGUCGAGUAAGUCGAAUGUGAAAGCCCCGGGCUCAACCCGGGAAGUGCGUUUGUGACUGCAUGGCUAGAGUACGGUAGAGGGGGAUGGAAUUCCGCGUGUAGCAGUGAAAUGCGUAGAUAUGCGGAGGAACACCGAUGGCGAAGGCAAUCCCCUGGACCUGUACUGACGCUCAUGCACGAAAGCGUGGGGAGCAAACAGGAUUAGAUACCCAAGUAGUCCCUGAGCGGGCUGGCAAGGCGCAU